rnacentral:rRNA from 1 species
CGAGCGGCUCUCUGGUCUGUACUGACGCUGAGGCGCGAAAGCAUGGGUAGCGAACAGGAUUAGAUACCCUGGUAGUCCAUGCCGUAAACGUUGAGUGCUAGGUGUUAGGGGGUCCAACCCUUAGUGCUGCAGUUAACGCAAUAAGCACUCCGCCUGGGGAGUACGGCCGCAAGGCUGAAACUCAAAGGAAUUGACGGGGGCCUGCACAAGCGGUGGAGCAUGUGGUUUAAUUCGACGCAACGCGAAGAACCUUACCAGGUCUUGACAUCUUCGGACAGCCCAAGAGAUUGGGUCUUCCCUUCGGGGACCGAAUGACAGGUGGUGCAUGGUUGUCGUC